CUAAUACUCUCUCCGUCCCAAAAUUAUUGUCUUAGAUUUAUAUAAAAAUGGAUGUAUCUAAAUACUAAGAUGUGACUAGAUACAUUCAUAUAUAGAUAAUUCUAAGACAAGAAUUUUGGGACGGAGGGAGUACUAA
rfam:Hordeum vulgare subsp. vulgare, WGS project CAJW01000000 data, contig: morex_contig_50584